CCCACAGACCAACAAUCAUUCAGACUGUAUGAAAGGAUCAUCCAACACAGCCUCUCUCCUGUCUCUCAUCCAUAGCCAGAGGAGCAGUGUCUGGGUGUGCUACAACGUUAGCCUGCUUUGGAGAAGUUCAGUUUAUGAUGUGACUGGCCUGUUCCAGUGUUUGGGGCCUAUUUACAAGUCUGUCUGUGACACUGAAGUCAGAGCACCUUUUCAAGGAUGCCUCAGAUAAGGAAACUCUUCCUUUACACUAUCCCCGUAGUUUAGAACCACACCCCAUUUUACUUCUCGAGUGCUCAGAAUGAAAUUACUCAACUGUUUGGUUUAACAAAGGAAACACACAUGUAUACCCCUAUCCACACAAUCAUAUAAAUGAUAAUACCUGAAAAUUGGUGAGUAUAUUCUAUGUACUGGACACUCUGCUAAGAGCUUUUUACAUGAAUGAUCUCAGUUUCAUAAAACAACUGUUUCAGUCAAGACAGGCUAGGUUAUGACAUGGUAACAAACAACCCCAAGAUUUCCAUGGUUUACGAUGACAAAGCUUAUUUCUCUCUCUUGCUACAUGUCCAUUUAUGUUUGUGGGAACCCUGUUCCACGUCACCCUCACUCUGGGUCCCAGCAGCUAAGCAGCCCAUGUCUGGAACAUUGGCAGAGGACAGAGAAGUUCCAGAAGAUCUUACAUCAGCAAUUAAGUGACACUUAUCACUUCUGCUCAUGACUUGUUGACUAGGACUAACCUCAUGACCCUUCCCACUAGGGAGCGAGGAGGUACAGUCUGAGUCUAUGUCCCACAAGUCGCGAUGUGGCAACUGGAAAUGUUUACUGAAAAUGGUAACCACACAACAACUUUGUAAGGGACCAGAUUUGUCAUCAGAUCCAAGAGGCAAACACUGCUUCGCAGACUUACAGUGGGAACUAUACUGUGCACUUGCACAUGAGAUGGCCCUCCACCUGUCUUGGCAACCACAAGACAGACCCUUUAUAUACAACCCUGGGGAGUCCUCCCUUCAGGACAUCUUUCCAUUGAAAUACAAAGAUGAUGACUUCGGCCACUGUGGUGAAGUCUCAAUGGAGGCCAUUCAGGUGGGAGAAGAGAGGAGCUUGGACCAGCAUGGUGGAUGUGGAAAUGCAGACAGGAACUCACGGGGUAUUUGGAAUAGAAUCUGUAGAACUCGGUGAUGGUUGGACUACAGGGUAAGAAGGGAGAACAAUGACUGAAAGAAGCGUCUGACCUGAGCAUCCAGGCUUCGUACUGAGAAGGGGAGCCUGGAGGAAGCUCUGGACGUCAAGAGCUCUAGUUGUAUCUGGGAUGCCCAGCAGACAGCAGGGUACUUGGAUCUGGAGUUUAGAGUAGCAGUCCAAGCUAGAGAUGCACAUGUGGGCAUUCACAGCACUGUAUGGUGGUGAAUGCAUGCAUGAAUGAGUAAAGUGUUACUAAGAUUGGAACUCAGAUUUGUCUAACUGAACAGUUAAUAUUUUAUAUACUAUUCAGUCACCCUCCAAUGAACUAAAUUCAGUAAAAGGGUGACUCUUCCAGUAUCCAGAGACUAAGUCCAAGGCAAAAGGUGGUACCUCCCAGAUCAAGACAACAGCCUGGAUUCUCAGAAGUCUUGAGAACAGGCAGAACCCAAGAGUCUCCAGAGUCAGGGACUCUGGCAUAAGAUCUGGAGGUACAUAGGAAGAAGAAGAAUCUUGGGGAGUGUAGGAUCCCAUAACAUCCCCACACUGCACUAGACCAAAACUCUCCAGAGUAGACUUUCAUAAGUAUGUACAGUACUCAGUAUAUUAGUAAGGCUGGGCUAAACUAGAUGGCAAGAACAAACAACGCCUCCAUCUCAAUGACAUAACUCCACCAAGUGCCAUAGGGGUCAGGCACCAUUGGAGACAGUUUUCCAAGAGCACUUCCUGGAUCAGGACUAUCUGCCCCCUCCCAACAGUGAUAUCCUGAUGGUCUUGAAAGUGUGGAGAAUUCACAGCUGCCCCUGACAACUUUGAACUGGAAGCCACACAAAUGUCUGCCACUCCCAGCCUAAGGACCUGGCGUGUGGCCCCAGCCCAGCUGCAGAGGAGACCCGGUGAUGGAGAGGAGUCUGUGGAGGCUUCAUGAAGAGUGACUGUCCCUGCCUCGUGAGCAGGUGCACAUGGUCUUUCCUUCUUCCAACGGGAGAAGUGAUGAGACAGGAUUGGAAGAUCCAAGUGGGAGACGAUUGGAGAGGGUCAAGGCUGGGGAUGAUGACAUUCAAUCAACCUUUGAGAGCUAGGAUCAGAAAUCUGUGACUGGAACCAUGUCUGUUUCUAGUCACGGGGAUUCCAUUUUCUCCCAUUCUCUACAUGUGCUACUCAUUGGAAAAUGCUUCUACUUCUGUGACCUGGAGGAGGGGUUAAAGUGAUUUACUCUGUCACACCAUGAGGUCUGUGCCCUCUCGUGCCUGCUACCACCCAGGAUCCAUGUGGAGGAGAGAGCUGGGAGGGUGGGACAAGACUGCCCUGAUUGAGCCAAAUCCUGAGAGGCCACAUUCAGGGAACUCCCCACAGGCCCAAACCUUCCUAAGCCAGGAUCAUGGUCUCUGCCAGUGAGUUUCUGUAUCCUUCCAGCAUAGUGAUCUUAUCGAGGCAGAUUAAAAAUGAGAAUGGGCCCAUAAAACAUGCAUUAUGGUCUCUCAAAGCCUCAUAAAGCCAGAUGAAUGCCUUGCUCCAAAGGUCCUUACACGGAGUUUACACCUCUCUCCCUCUCCCUAAUGGAAUUGUCAACAACAGAUUAUUGAAGUUAAAAAAAAAAAAAAAAAUUAGUUAACUUGUAAAGUUCAACCCACUUUGAAUCAUUUGGCCUUAUGGAUUCCCUGGAGUAAAGUGGAUCAUGCCAAAAGAUACCUGUUUUUCCUUGGCCCUAAAAUAGCUCCUCCACAUUUUCCAUGAGGCUUGGAGCAAAGGCAUAGAAAGAAAUCUUAGGGACAGCUCUUCCUUUCUGGGCGGUUCCAUCUCCUCAUCCCACUUUCCCACUGGUACCUAAGUCUGCAGCCCCAAAACAAAGUGUUUCAAUUCAGGCAGAUGCCAGGCUUCUUAUGAGUCUAUUCCCAGGAUUUCAGAUCCUCUCCUGAGAAACAGCCUUGACAGGAAGAAGAGAGAGCUGCUAGACAUUGGGCAGAUUUUCUGUUCCUCUAUCUCUGACCACCCGGCCAAGGGUAAGUUACCCACACAUUGCAGCCUUGCCUUUCUGUUCUCAGGCAGGAAGGAUUGAAGGUGCUGGAGUGGAGCAACGAACCCGGCUCGUGGCAUGCUCUGACUCUGGUCAAGCUGCCACCUCGUGCAAGUGACUCUGUUCCCAGAUCCCCUGCACCCAAGUCCUUGUCUUGCUACUGUGUCCUCUGAGAGUGGAGAUUAUCGCAGGGAUGGGAAUCCUGACUGGGCUGAAUCCAAGCCAGCCACGGGGACUUCCUUCCUAUCCAACCUCCCCCGGAAGCUCAAUUUCUUCCUCCUGUUUAAAUAAAUCCUUCCCUCGACU